UAGGGAAUCUUCGGCAAUGGACGAAAGUCUGACCGAGCAACGCCGCGUGAGUGAAGAAGGUUUUCGGAUCGUAAAACUCUGUUGUUAGAGAAGAACAAGGACGUUAGUAACUGAACGUCCCCUGACGGUAUCUAACCAGAAAGCCACGGCUAACUCCGUGCCAGCAGCCGCGGUAAUACGGAGGGUGCAAGCGUUAAUCGGAAUUACUGGGCGUAAAGCGCACGCAGGCGGUUUGUUAAGUCAGAUGUGAAAUCCCCGGGCUCAACCUGGGAACUUCCACUGAUACUUGCAAGCUUGAGUCUUGUAGAGGGGGGUAGAAUUCCAGGUGUAGCGGUGAAAUGCGUAGAGAUCUGGAAGAAUACCGGUGGCGAAGGCGGGCCCCUGGACGAAGACUGACGCUCCGGUGGGAAAGCGUGGGGAGCAAACAGG
rnacentral:rRNA from 1 species